GCAGUCGUGGCCGAGUGGUUAAGGCGGUGGACUGAAAUCAAUUGGGGUCUCCCCGCGCAGGUUCGAAUCCUGUGACUGCG
rnacentral:tRNA from 1 species